UCAGGACGAACGCUGGCGGCGUGCCUAACACAUGCAAGUCGAGCGAGGAGAUCCUCGGGAUGAUCCUAGCGGCGGACGGGUGAGUAACACGUGGGCAACCUGCCUCAUAGAGAGGAAUAGCCUUCCGAAAGGGAGAUUAAUACCUCAUAACAUUGCAGUUUCGCAUGGAACAGCAAUUAAAGGAGUAAUCCGCUAUGAGAUGGGCCCGCGGCGCAUUAGCUAGUUGGUGAGGUAACGGCUCACCAAGGCGACGAUGCGUAGCCGACCUGAGAGGGUGAUCGGCCACAUUGGGACUGAGACACGGCCCAGACUCCUACGGGAGGCAGCAGUGGGGAAUAUUGCACAAUGGGGGAAACCCUGAUGCAAGCAACGCCGCGUGAGUGAUGACGGCCUUCGGGUUGUAAAGCUCUGUCUUCAGGGACGAUAAUGACGGUACCUGAGGAGGAAGCCACGGCUAACUACGUGCCAGCAGCCGC
rnacentral:rRNA from 1 species